rnacentral:rRNA from 2 species
UACGAAGGGUGCAAGCGUUACUCGGAAUUACUGGGCGUAAAGCGUGCGUAGGUGGUUCGUUAAGUCUGUCGUGAAAGCCCCGGGCUCAACCUGGGAAUGGCGAUGGAUACUGGCGAGCUAGAGUGCGGUAGAGGAGAGUGGAAUUCCCGGUGUAGCAGUGAAAUGCGUAGAGAUCGGGAGGAACAUCAGUUGCGAAGGCGGCUCUCUGGACCAGCACUGACACUGAGGCACGAAAGCGUGGGGAGCAAACAGG